rnacentral:rRNA from 1 species
AUUGAACGCUGGCGGCAGGCCUAACACAUGCAAGUCGAACGAGUGGCGGACGGGUGAGUCAUGUCUGUGAAACUGCCCGAUGGAUGGGGAUACCGACUGGAAACGGUAGCUCAUACCGCCUAGCAGCGGCUGGGCCCAGAUGGGAUUAGCUAGUAGGUGGGGUAACGGCUCACCUAGGCGACGAUCCCUAGCUGGUCUGAGAGGAUGACCAGCCACACUGGAACUGAGACACGGUCCAGACUCCUACGGGAGGCAGCAGUGGGGAAUAUUGCACAAUGGGCGCAAGCCUGAUGCAGCCAUGCCGCGUGUAUGAAGAAGGCCUUCGGGUUGUAAAGUACUUUCAGCGAGGAGGCGUUACUCGCAGAAGAAGCACCGGCUAACUCCGUGCCAGCAGCCGCGGUAAUUC